rnacentral:lncRNA from 1 species
CUGCGGUAUUUUCAUUUUGACGUGAUGAUGAUGAUGCUAAUAAUGGUACUUUUGACAUGCAAUCCGCCGCCUCGCAGGUGCUUUCGGUGCUUUUGUCUUCGGUGGUGCUUUCGUCCUUGGCGUCCGUAAUUGGUUGUGAAUCAGAGUCAUCUGUUAUUCUUUGGGCUCCCAACUCAACCUCUGAUCUUAGAUCUACUCCAUUGCAGUUUCUGCAAUCUGCUUCCUUGCCAGCUGACCAAGUCUCCGCUAUGAUUGUUUCCGUCUUUGGAUGCUCCUGAAAACCAUUCCAUGCAAGUCAGGUAUAUUCUUGGUGAUCAUGGUAGUCUGUAAUUUAUUAACAGCAACUUUUAACCUGCAUUGCCUCGUAGAAAUACUGGCAUAAAAAUGUAGGUGAACAAGAUUGAGAUUGAUCGUCAAAUUUUGAUUGUCAUGGAACUAAUUAACCUGAUAAAUAGUAUGGCAAUGUGAAAAUAGCUGACAACAUUACUAGAGACCGAGCAAUGGAAUUCCAUUUUAAAAAUUGAACAGGGAAACAUCAAAAUGAGUAAACAACACAUUUGCUCAUAGACAAUGAUAAAGCCCUUUGGGGACUGGAGGUGUUACAGCAGAGUAUUGAUGUAGAAUUUGUAC